rnacentral:lncRNA from 1 species
AAAUUUGUCCUCCACCUAGCUGGCAGAUCAGCUUGCAUCCCCUUCCACAGUGGCACAUUAAAAAAAAAAAAAAAAAAAGGAGAAACACAGCCAAAUAAUAAAACAAUAUCUUCUGUAAGUAAAGAGUACACCCCUGUUUACCUGGUCGCCACUGUUUAUUCUGAAAGACUACACUAAGCAAAUACUGAGCCUGACAGCUAGGCUGGAGGGGAGGGGUCUCUAGGCCACAAAGGUGCAAAGCCCUCUUUCAGAUCCAUCUCCACCAUUUCCCUUCAGGAUGGUGGGUGCAGGACCACCCCUAGCCAUGAGCAACUUGAGUUCCUAGAGGGAGGUGGUCCUUUUCUUCAUGCUUCAUGCUUCUUGUUCACUUUCUAUUCACCAUCAGCUCUUCCCUACCUCCCCGCAAGACUGAGAGCCUGUAGUUCUACAAGGCUGACAAUCAAGAGUCUAUCCACCUAUGUGUGGAUGUGGAUGUGAAUUCCAGGCCUCCCCACCACACUCUGACUCUGCUAAGCCCCUGUAGGGAGGCGGAGGUGAGCCAAAAGCUGACUGGUGGGAAAUACCCAGUGUGGCCUGUCUUCCUCUCCAAGGCUCAAAUAAACUCAAGUCAUCUGCACCAAGGGAGCAAGGGAAAAGGAACAAGAAAGCUGUGUGGGGUUAUUCUGCAUCUCACCUGCCCACCACCUGCCCUUCCCUCCUUUUUAGGAAUCCACUGCAGCAUUGGAGAGAGAGGCCUAAGAGGGAGCUCACUGUACUCCCAACCCAUCCCUCUGCCCAGCUCUUAUUAUUAUGGUCCCAUUUCCUAGGGUAGAGCUUCCACAUUCAGUGUCUCACAAGGGGUACUAGUUACCUAUCAUUUCCAUCAUGCCCUCCACCCACCACCUAACCAGGGAGAUCUGACCAGGCAAGAGAAUGUUGUGAGGCCGACCUGAUUGUUGCCCUUCUGAAUGUUAGGGCAUUCCAACAGAGACCUCUGCCUGGCUCCAUCCACAAGUAUCAGAAUGUCAUAAGAAGUGUGUUGUUUGCCAGAUAGUUCACAGAACAAGUAUAAGUUAACAGAUAGCGUCUGAAGCAAGGCACCCAGGGAGGCACAGAGGAACGCAGGAGCGCUGAGACAUGGUGGAUGGUAGGAUUCCAACCUGCCCUCCUUUCCCCUUAUUUACCCAGUUUGCGCCAUCAUCCCACCCUCCAGAGAAAAUACGGAGACAGGGAACGUCCCUCGGCAGCAAGAAUGAAAGGUACGGUGGCUCAGCAACCAAGGCUGCUCCUUGUUUCUGCUACUGAUGUCCUAUUAACUUCUUAUCUUCCAGGGUGAAGAUAUUACUGCAAGGCCUUUUGCCAGGCAGUUUCAUGUAUGAUCCUUACUACAACCCUGAGAAGUAGAUGUUACUGACCUGGUUAACAGUCUCAGAAACUGAGACUCAGAGAGAUUGUGUUCCCAAAGACCCAGCUGGUUAGCAGAGAGCCAGAACUCAGACCUAGGUCCCUGACUUUCUGUCUAGAGUUUUUCCCACUGUUUCUCUUUUCAUCUAUUUUUGGUCAAUUCACUGCUCCCUGAUGCUUCUGCUGGAGGCUCUAUAUUCUGGGAAACAAGCGAAGGCAAGCAAAAUGCAGCCAAUCAGUGCUGACCUUAGUCAAUAAAAAGGUUGCAGACAGUUGUGGUUGUCAGGCUUUGUUGCUUAACCAUCUCUAGACCUCUGUUUCUUUCUCUGUAGAUUGGGGACAGUAAUAUUACCUGUAUCUCAUGGGACUGUGGUGAGGAUUCAAUGAUAAAAGGCAGGACAAGUGCUCAAGAGGAUGCCUUGAACAUAGUAAGCCCUCAAUAAAGGGGAGCUGCGGUUACUACUAAGACAGUGUUGGAGAAAGUACAAGAGCCACAGUUUUUCCAGGGUAAGAGGUAGAUUAUUAAAGGCUGAUACUGUAUAUGUUCUCUUAGCUCCUCUCUUGAACAUAAACAUCUGUGGUUUGUCAAAGACAUUUUCAGGAUCCGGUUUUCUUUUUAGAAAGAGGAAGGAAAAAAAACCCAAGGCCUGAAUCUAUAGGAAGUCCAAAUGCACCCAGGAUUCUUAAGUCACAAGAUAAAAAGUGGAGAUGCUUGAAGAGGCAUCUGAUAGUGGAAUUCAUGGAAGAGGAAAAGGUCAGUUCCAUCUCUAGUGACUCCAACAGAGGGAUGAAACAUCCAAGAAUGAAGAAAAUUAUUUCCAGGAAUGGCAAAUGAGGAUGGAACCAUAGGAUAUAGUUAUUAUUGUUAAACCAAACCCAGUGCAAUAAUUGGUCUGUCUCAAUAACAUCACUCCGGCCAAGUUGCCGUUUCCAAGAAGGAAAGAAUAAGAAUUUAGUCCAGCUGAUUCUUCGGCAUGAUUUAAACCAGCAGUGGUUGUCAAACCUUAGUGUGCCUCAGAAUCAACUGGAGGGCUUGUUAAAUCCAAACUGCGAAGUCUCAUCCCGAGUUUCUCAUUUAAUGGAUUGGGGGUGGGACCCGAGUUUGCAUUUUGAACAAGCUACCAGCUGAUGCUGAGACUGCUGGUCCAUCCAGGGACCACAUUUC